ensembl:lncRNA
CCUCACAUUAACAGACUUAUAACAACUGAGCAGUUUUUAUUUAAAAAAAGCAAUAUUAUAGACCUGUGAACAGCUAUAGAGCCACUCGUUUGGGACUUUGUAAUAUGAAGCACAUUAUGAUGUUUUUCACUUAAAAAAGGUGCUCUUUGAAUAUAUUUCACAACGCCAACUUUCACAGCACUUUUGGGGACACAAGAGCGCAAAAAGCUCUACAAAUAUGUCCCACAAAAUGUCCUUCGUCGUGUUCUUUUGGUGAUGCAUUAAGUUUUGAGGAGGCCAAAGGGGGCAAUUCAGACUUGUCCUUUGUCUCAGUGUAUCUUGACUUGGGAAUGUGAAAUGUCUUUAAAUCACAGGGAGGGAUCUUCAACUCUGUCUGGAGAGUCAGAACAGAAAGAAAGUCCAACUUUUUAGUACUUUACAUAAAAGAAUGCAUUUGUUGCAGAAGAAGCCGAUUUAAAUGUGUCAACGGUUCCUUACAUGCACUUUUUGACUGGUUAGUCGAAGGCCAGAGAUGUAUAAAACAUGAGGUCAAAUUUGGUCUAUUUUUAAUCUGUCCCCUGAGUUGUUAGAUAAGACGGCACGAAGCCACCAUAACGAUGACGUGUGCACAAAACAGAUACUUUUGCCCGUCGAACCCCUUCAAUUCAGCGAUACUUGACUUAUGACGCAAUCCUGCUCGCGCCCUUGCACGUGGCACUUUCAUUAUACAGAUUCACAAGCUCCACCGCGGGAGGGGACGCCGUUGUUUUGUGGAAAAGAAAAGCUCCUCUAGUCACUCAGCCUUGGAGUGUCUGCCAUUAAACAUUCACCCUAACACCCAAAUCAUACGGCCGUGUCUUCAUGGAGCGCAGCUCUGAGAUGGUGAAUCGCUCCCAUCCCGUGUCUCUGAUAUGCCGUUUUUUUUUAUUUUUAACCUCAAACGGGGUCACAGGUGUUGUAUUGCCAAACUGGAGAGCUUUAGCUGCAUUUCCGAGUGCGAGAUCCUCGGAUGGAAAGUCCAUGUGCAGGCAAACGCUUUGAUGAAAUGUUUCCAUUAAUCAGUGUCUACUUCGCAGCGCAUUGUUCUUGGCUGCACUGUAUUGACACCAGUGCCAUUCCCACUACACCUUUUUGUUUCGUGAUUUAUUAGAAGUAUUCGGGAUGAAUUAUUUCCGGAAGAAUUAAGCCAAUCACAGCUUUGUCGGUGACAUUAAGAAAAGGUGAUGUCUUCUUUUGACAGAGAGAGAAAAUGUGGCCAUGAAAGCAGGAUGGGCACGGAAUGGAUUGAGAAAGCUUUUCUUUUCAUAUCUAUUGUUGUAAAAAUGACAUCAGGCAAGAAAUACCGAGCAACUGUUCAAGGUCCUUACUGACGCUCCACAAUAAAUCAAAAGGCUUGGAUUAUUUUUUAAAUGGCGCUACCAAAACCCUAUUCAUGAAUAAACAGGUUUUGUUAAGGGUUCGGAAAGCUCUCGAGGGAGGCCUCACUCCUUUGUUCUCGUCCCGGCCGGAAACGAAGAUACAAAUGAGCCAGCUUGCUUAAAUUCAAAAAUCAAAAAAGUAUUAACGUUAUAAGGAAUACAAUUACAAAGUGAAAUACAAAACGAACAGUAAAAUAUUUUGUGAAAUUGAUGAGUCACUUUAGACUUCAGGCUUCAGGAAAAUUCUAACAGUCCUUUCCCCGCUUUGGUCAUUUGAAAACUCUUGAGGUGUGUCUUCUUUGGUGCGUUUGAAUGUCAUUGGCUUCUCCUUCAAAAUGUCUCCUCCUGGACUGUCCCCUUCACAUCGAGGUGUGAAGCUGCAGCUGUAACCUGAAACCUCACAUUCCAAUACAUUCAAUGUAGAUACAAUUGGCUUUAUGCCUCAAUGAGUGAAUAUAACAAAGCAUGCAGUUUAAGUCUUCAUCUUCCAACUAGUACACUUUAAUUAAAACACAUCAUAAAUGAUCACCGUUCAUCACACUACAUCAUACGAUUUAAUACAGUUACACAUUUGCCUCAAUCGGCUGUCUUACAUUCAAUUGCUCAUCUACUACCUGACAGUGUGUUUGAUUCAUAUUGCAUUUACUUCAUCUAACAUGUUAAUGUAAUAACUAAUAUAUAAUGACACAAACUACAAUUCUAAGACUAAACAUUAUUACACGUGUUAUAAUUUCCUCCACCAGGGGUGCUCUUCUUUCUUAAAUCCCUAACAGUUUCAAUUGAUUCUUCGUCACAAAAGUCCUUUAUUUUAACUUAACUAAUUGUACCUUGCUUUUGUUACCUAAGUCACCUGAUUAUCACCAUUUAAAGUAUUUUACUGCCUUAACCUGUACUGCAGGGGGUUGUAGAUCUCGAAAUAACUCUUAAAUAGAUGUUGUAUGAGGACACAUUGCUGUCGGAUGCACAUGUAUUUUAAAACUGAUGGCUUAUGGCAAAAUAAUAACCUCUAGCACACUUGAACAUGAUUCCAGACUGCAAAUGAAAUAGAUAUUAUGUAUCCAUUCAGUCUGAUUAUCUGUGUGGUAAACUCCCAUUGCUGCUUUUACACUCUCCUGCUGUUUCUGUCUCCACAUAAUGUUCCUAGUUGCUCCAGUUCAGAAAAGCUGGUCGGCCAACAUUGCAUCUUAGAUGGGGGUGAUGAGUAGUUUGAUGUUAAAAUAUUGAUGUUGCGUAUAUUUUAACAUCCUCGGGCAUUCUGUCAUUAUUAGUUUUUACAGUAAAGAAAAUAAUAAAUAAAAUAUGAAUUCCCUGUUACACUAAUUGUAGCCUACGGAAUAUUUUAUUCAGUCCACAGCCUGUGAGCGAGACAAACACACAAAAAAAAUAAUUCUAAAACAUAAUACAAAGAAGAGCCUUUGCAAUAAUAAAUAAUAAGUUAACGCAAAGUAAACUCUUGGUGUAUUGGUGGAGUUACUUCCUUUAACUGGUCACUACAGGCUUCUGCAGUGUGCACAUGCUCACGUUGAUUAAGACGGACCGGUGCUGCCGCCCUGGACAGGUCAGUGACCAAUGUGAUCCUGAUCCUGACCAAUGCGAUCCCGCCGGACGGCAAUGAUCACAAGAGUAUCCGUGUGACGGAUGUGACACGCAGACACAAGCUGGAGAAUCUUGAAGGUUCUUUCAUCUCGUGUGGAGGUCCGCCCGAGCGGCGGGAUCAGCACAAUUUAUUGUCAAAACACUGACAAUAACUGGAAAAUGAUGAGAGGAGGCAGCGAGACAGUUUACUUCUUAUCAUUAAUUAAAAAAAUUAAAACAUGAUUUAUCUUGCCGGCGUGGAAUCUCAUCUGAAAAACAAUAAAACAGCUUGUUUUACUUUGAUAAUCUCAAAGAAUACACGCGGUGACUUGCUAUGUGAUGAAUGAUGAAUAAUUAUGGGAGGUUGGUGGUGUUUGAUAUUCAUCAUAUGCUGGAUUGAAGAAAAAACUAGAACACUUGAAUUCAAUAAUUCAUAUGCAUUCAGGGGGAGUUGGAAAUAUAUUACUGUCUCCAUCACAUCUCAACAGCCCAUUUGUAUGGAAGAUACGGUAGCUGCAACUUCUCACGGUCCGAACCAUGUAUUAAUAAACAUAAUAUAUGUCAUCGCUUUACUGAAUUUACAAGGUUGCAAGAGGAAUAUCACACUAACACUAUCAUUUUGGUCAAUUAAUAGUUUCAUACUUCAUACCGUAAUUCAUGCCACUGAUUCAUUUUCAACAUCUGGGAAACGAAGAUGUUCUGUAAUCUCCUGACUAGUCCAUUUAUCUCUUUUCCUUAACCUAGGAGGUUAGUCCUAGUUUUAUGAAGGCAGAAGUUUAUUAUAAACUGUGGAUGGAACAAUUGUUUAUUGAAAUGUUGCAGUAAGUGGAGCACCAUAGUUUGAAGCGCCAACCAAGAGUGUCGGGUUUGAGAGAAUUUCAUCCUAAUUCUUACAAAGUAUUUUGUCCUUGACUUGAAGAAAUACCAGACGGACACUCUUCAGUGCUUUGGAGAUAUUGUUUUCUCCUCAUUACAUUUCAAAAGACGUUUGAUUAUCUGUUGAAGAAGCAUGCACAUUCUGAUUUCUGGGCAAUUUCUCCCUAAUUAUAUAAGAUGGGAGAGCAGGCAAAAUGACAGAUGGGUCAUUUGAGUGAUCUGGAGACGGAGAGAUUCAUUUCCCCAAUGAUCCCGACACCAAAAGACAGACAACAAAGUGUGUCAUCUGGACCGCAUUAGUAGUCUGUCUCAUUAUUUCGAUGGCGAACCCCCCCCGUAAAAAAAGAUGGAUCUGUAUUUGGAGCACAAUCCAAGAUUGGAGGUUUGUGGAAAGUAAACAAAUUUUAAUGAUGGCGAAAAAAAAACAACAUAUUAGACUCUCAAAUGUAAUGUUCCUGCAUUCCUUAACUGCAAAACUUUUUUGCAGAACCAGCUGCAACCAACGGCACAAGAUAAGCCUUUAAAGCUGCGGUAGCCUCAACCAGUGUUUGCAACUAUGAGCACUUUCAUCACGAUUCUGACAAAAGCCAAAGUUGGGCUUACUUUUGCUUAGUUAUGCAAAGGCAUAAAAAGGGCUCAUUGUCCCCUACGUCAUCCUUCGGCAUGACAUUUAUCCGGG